UCAGUUGUUGUAAAAACCCAUCUGGUUUAUCAACCCCAAUCAGAGAUGAAAAUAAAUGUUGGGGUCUUAUGGCAAAGUAAUAAUAUUUCUGAGUAAGAGGGCUUGGGUUAAUGUCCUAUUUGUUCUAGAGUGAAUGUAUUACAUCACCGGCAAAGCCAACAUUUCUUACCUAAGACAAAGUGGUGGAGUUACAUGAGUUAUUCUCCAAACUAAAGGCAUCUUCCUUGAAUCUAAUGAUUUUUGGAAAGUGAAAACCAAUGCUACUUUAAGAUCCUAAGAUGAAAUCCAUCAGGAC